CAAGUCUUAAUCCCCAGAACCUGUGAGUGUGGCUGUAUUUGGAGGUGGGCCCUAAAUCCAAUGAUGAGCAUCUGUAUAUGAGACAGAAAAAGGAGAAAACAGACAUCGAAGAGAUGAUGAUGUGAUCACCGAGGCAGAAACCGGAGUGAUAUGGCUACAGGUCAAGGCAUGCCAACAGCACCAGAAGCUGGAAGAGGCAUCAAGGCAGAAAGAACAUGAGCUGUGGUCAUUUCUCAACAUCCUUUGAAGCUUCACUGACACCAUGGAUCCCACCCACCCCACAAGCAGUUCUUGCUAUUGGCAAUUUACUAAACAGUCAGCCCCACUCAACAUGUUCUGGACGUACCUUUCCCUGUUUUGCAAAGAAGUCUUCAUAAGAAUAAUUUUCUUUGGCUCUUA